rnacentral:lncRNA from 1 species
AUGCUCUUGCAAUCAGACGGAUGCAGGCAGCACCCUUCUGCAGAAGUAAAUGUGCCUUGCUGAGAAAUGUUCUGUCUAAGUGCUGGCUUUUCUUUGAGGCACUGAGCACUUGUUUCUAACAAAAUGGGGGCACAUCUGGGAUCCCAUUCUCCUCCGGAGAAGGGUCUCCAAUCAUCUCUUGUGAGGAGACGUGUCUCACUGCAGCAGCCUCAAGAAUGAGGGAUUGAGACCCACCAGCAUGAUGAAUAUACCGAGACUCUCAGCAACAUGGAAGGAAAAGGCCUACAGAUGCCAUGGUGACCAAGUAAUUCUGUGCACAGACCAAGCAUGGGCAAAAGGGCAAGACCCUGUAUGCCCAAGAAGAAAGUGGAGAAAGAGAAGAGCAACAAGGAAAGGGAAGGUGCCUUAGCUCAACAGGCUGCUGGCGGACAUGGAGAGGAAGCCCCAGAGAAGCAUGUGGCGGACAAGCAAUGAGAAGCAUGCUGUGCAGCCUCAGGAAGCCCACAGCAGGCACUACUGAUGCAGGAGAGGCCAUGAGCCAGGUGGGAGAUAAGAAAGGAAAGUAUCAGACAACCUGGGGCUGGAACACAAUGCACAGCUCUUAGAAUAAGAUCAUCCUCACAUCUGUUU